AAUCAAGUGCCUUAAGGGUGUUCGGUGGAUGCCUUGGCGCUGAGAGGCGAUGAAGGACGUGCUACGCUGCGAUAAGCCGUGGGGAGCUGCGAAGAAGCUUUGAUCCAUGGAUUUCCGAAUGGGGAAACCCACCUUCGAUAGCCGGAACUCCAAGACCUCAGUCGAAAGACUGUGGUGUGGGGUUCGAACAGAAAUGUGAGAUGCCUAGGCCUUUAGAUUUCGAUCGAAGAGGUUUUGGAUUUCCGGUUAUCAAAAGAAGGUAUGAGACUUCUGAAUACAUAGGAGGUUUCAAGCAAACCCAGGGAACUGAAACAUCUAAGUACCUGGAGGAAAGGACAUCAACAGAGACUCCGUUAGUAGUGGCGAGCGAACGCGGACCAGGCCAGUGAUACAUCAAAGACAAUCGGAACCAGUCAGGAAAGCUGGGCCU
rnacentral:rRNA from 1 species